rnacentral:rRNA from 1 species
UACAGAGGGGGCAAGCGUUGUUCGGAAUUACUGGGCGUAAAGGGCGCGUAGGCGGCCUUCUAAGUCGAACGUGAAAUCCCCGGGCUCAACCCGGGAACUGCGUCCGAUACUGGAAGGCUUGAAUCCGGGAGAGGGAUGUGGAAUUCCAGGUGUAGCGGUGAAAUGCGUAGAUAUCUGGAGGAACACCGGUGGCGAAGGCGACAUCCUGGACCGGUAUUGACCCUGAGGCGCGAAAGCCAGGGGAGCAAACGGG